AUGGAUGGUAUCUGGUUCCCCUCCUGUGGAGGAACCCUCAUCUCCCCUGACUGGGUCCUUACUGCUGCCCACUGCAUCAAGGAGAUUCCGGUGGCCCCCUGAACUGUCAGAACUCAGACGGAAUCUGGGAGGUGCACGGAAUCGUGAGCUUCGGCGCUCCUUCCUGUAACCAGGUGCAAAGACCCUCCGUGUUCACUAGGGUCAGCGCAUACGUGUCCUGGAUCAACAAUCCUACGGUUGUGGGCUGCCCACAUUCCCCCCUGUGGUGACGAGGGUGGUGGGAGGAGUGGAUGCCAGAGCCCACAGCUGGCCCUGGCAGAUCUCUCUGCAAUACACCAGAAAUGGCAACUGGUACCACACCUGUGGAGGAACCCUCAUCUCUGCUGACUGGGUCCUCACUGCUGCCCACUGCAUCAGGUACACACACACACACACACACACACACACACACACAC